GGCGAGAUGGCCGAGUGGUCUAAGGCGCCAGACUAAGGAUCAGGACAUUCAGAUGUCCAUUUACAAUCUGGUCCUCCGGGGCGUGGGUUCGAAUCCCACUCUCGUCA